rnacentral:rRNA from 1 species
GAUGAACGCUGGCGGCGUGCCUAAUACAUGCAAGUCGAGCGAACAGACGAGGAGCUUGCUCCUCUGACGUUAGCGGCGGACGGGUGAGUAACACGUGGAUAACCUACCUAUAAGACUGGGAUAACUUCGGGAAACCGGAGCUAAUACCGGAUAAUAUAUUGAACCGCAUGGUGCAAUAGUGAAAGACGGUUUUGCUGUCACUUAUAGAUGGAUCCGCGCCGCAUUAGCUAGUUGGUAAGGUAACGGCUUACCAAGGCAACGAUGCGUAGCCGAACGGAGAGGGUGAUCGGCCACACUGGAACUGAGACACGGUCCAGACUCCUACGGGAGGCAGCAGUAGGGAAUCUGCCGCAAAGGGCGAAAGCCUGACGGAGCAACGCCGCGUGAGUGAUGAAGGUCUUCGGAUCGUAAAACUCUGUUAUUAGUGAAGAACAAAUGUGUAAGUAACUAUGCACGUCUUGACGGUACCUAAUCAGAAAGCCACGGCUAACUACGUG